rfam:Gossypium hirsutum cultivar TM-1 chromosome 19, whole genome shotgun sequence
AAUAGGAGAAUGACAAAUCAGAUUUUUCCUCCCGAUUUUUAAUUUUUUUUCCUGAAAAAAUUCAAAUUCAACUAAAAAUACUAAAAAUUAGGAGGAAAAAUCUGAUUUAUCAUUCUCCUAUU